UACGUAGGGUGCAAGCGUUGUCCGGAAUUAUUGGGCGUAAAGAGCUCGUAGGCGGUUUGUCGCGUCUGCUGUGAAAACUCAGGGCUUAACCCUGAGCCUGCAGUGGGUACGGGCAGACUAGAGUGUGGUAGGGGAGAUCGGAAUUCCUGGUGUAGCAGUGGAAUGCGCAGAUAUCAGGAGGAACACCGGUGGCGAAGGCGGAUCUCUGGGCCGAUACUGACGCUGAGGAGCGAAAGCGUGGGGAGCGAACAGG
rnacentral:rRNA from 1 species